GCAAUUCCAGUGAAAGAAGCAGAAGAGAAUGAAAACAUUGCAAUUGUAGUAACAUCACAUGGCGGCCAUAUUGGAUUUAUGGAAGGUUUUAUACCAAGGAACAGCACAUUUAUGGAUAAACUUUUCUCACAGUAUGUUAAAGCUGUGGUUACUCAUGGUCCAACACAUCUGAAACAAGAGUAAAAUGUCUCAAAGGAAAUCUGUAUAGAACUAUAUGCAGAAAGGAGGAAACAAAUUUCCAUGGAUCAUCAAUGUAUGGCUAUGUAUACAGAAUAAUCUGGAUAUAAUUUUCCAAAUGAAGGAGUAUCAAUAGAAUAUUAGUUAAAUACAUGUCACCUUGUGACAAGAACAGCAUUGGUUCUAUGAAAACUACCUGAUCUAGACUCACCUGAAUCAGGAACUAACCAUAAAACUUGAACAUUUGACUCAUAAGAAACAGACAUGGCACUGGAGGCAUUAUUAUAGAAACCUGCUAGUCAAACACAUUUCAUCUUUCGGUUUUUAAAACCUAGUUUUGUUGUUAUCUAUGACAAACAAAAUCAUUAAACUAUAACUAGUCAUUAUUUUAAACACAUUUGAAAAUUGAUUACUCGAAACUAGCAUAUGUUCCUACCCUGUACAAUGAAACUUGUCUUAAAUUCUGUACAACAGAGACCUAUCACAGUUUUUGUCUGAAUGUACAUAGGAAAUUCUUUAGUUUAUUCAUAAAAAGAAGACAACUGCAUUAUAUCUUUAAUUUUGGAGCUGUAAUUUUUGUGCAAAUAUUUUGAAGUGCUUUAAUAACCUAUUGAUAAAACAUUACCAGUAAAUCAAAAUAAUUUGGGUUGAUUUUGGACUAUUCUUAGUUGUAUAACUUGAAGCCAGGUGUAUCACUAAAUCAUAGUUGUUUUAUCUAUGAUAAUUAAAUGUUGAAACAAACCAGACAAAGUCAAAAAUUAAAACGACUUUUUGCAAGAAAAAUUUGUAUGAAUAUCUGUAGUAAAGUAUGACAGCAAUGUGAGAAAAACUCGUUAACUUUUGCACAUGUCAAAUAUUCUUUUAAUGAACAAUGAUGAAAAUUUGAACAAAAAAAUACCAUAUAUUGCAAUGCAUUAGAUCUUGAUAUGAACAAUUAUAUCCCUUGUCUUUCUAAUAUGUAAUGUCUUUCUCCAUUUCAUGUCUGUUUUAUUCUCUUCUUUCAAUGAAAUGUAAACAAUUUUAUCUAAACAAGACCAACUUUGAAAUUUGACUUUUUAAAAUUACACCCAAAAAUGUAGAUAUAUUUUUAAAUUUAUAUACCUUUCAUUGAUAAUGUUACCUUAAAUCCACCAUUUAUACAUUAUAAAACGCCUGUUCCAAGUCAGGAGUAUGACAGUUGUUAUCUAUUCGUUUGCUGAGUUAGAGCUUUGAUUUCACCAGGUGAUUAGGGACUUUCCAUUUUGAAUUUUCCUUCGAGUUCAGUAUUUUUGUGGUUUUACUUGAUAUUUAAUGUCACUCUGUUUGCUUACCUUAGAAUAUAUAAGUCGAUGUCGAAUUGUUAUCUUUCAAGCUUGUUAUACCUUAUUUAUAUCCCCGGAUUUGACUAGAAUUUAACAUGUUUAAGGAAAAAAGAUCAAGUUUAGACUAAUUAUGAGAAUAAAUAGAAAUACUACAAAGAACAAUUGGUACCACUGUAUCCUGGUAGUUUUCUGUUUUCGUCUGUUAAAAUAACUUUGUUGAGAUCAGUAAUGUAAAAGGCUUGCAUAUCCAGAUUCCACAAAUGCGUUCUAUAAUGGAACAGAUUUAAAUGUUCAACGAAUGACACAUUUUUCUUUAUGAUUGUAUGCAAACUGAAGCAAAACCUUUAAAUGGUAUACCUACAAAAAUGUUUUCCUGAAUCAACAAAAAAUGGCACCCGUUAAAAAUAAUUAAUAAUAAUGUUUUGACUGUGUGUAGGUGUAUGAAUGUGUUUGUGGUGUUUCAGAUCAAUUUAAAACCAUUUUUCACAAUUUCUUAUGUACUAGUCUCUGUGCUUCAAAUUAUGUGUUCACCAAUGUUCACUGUUAUAGAAGAUGUGGACUUAUUGAAUUGAAUGUUUAAUAUGCAAUUUUAUAUACACAAUUGUUUAUUUUUUGUCAUAUAUGUAUUAUGGUUGUUGUUUUAAGAUCUACAUUAAAUAUAUCUAAAUGUCCAGUACACAAUCAUUCUCCUUUGUUUAAGAAACAUUUUGAACAACAAAUAUAUUAAUUUUGAAUCUUUGAUCAAUUUAAUAUUUUUUGUAGGUCCUUAUUAAUUUACUAGAUAUGAGCAUCAGUGGUUAACCAAUGUCCAAAUCUCACUUAUCAAUUAAUAAGACUAAUCAUUGUAAAAAAAAACCUUAGGAAAUACAUUUUCAUUUUUUUCCUGUCAAAAGAUAUUUACAAAUUAUUUUUAUAAUACAUGUAUUUGUAUUAUGUUUAUUUAUAGAAAGCCAAAUGAGUGCAAAAUGUGUCUUCCAUUAUGUACAUGCCAGAAUCUAAAAAAUAAUUGCAAAUAUUUGAUCAUCUGCCAAAGAUGCUAAGGACAUGGUUAACCUUUUCAAUAUGUUGGUGUUCACUUUUCAUGCUUACUUUUUACUUAUGAAAAUGUUACUGAAAAUGGAGUAAAAUGCUGAGAUAGGCCAGUCAUAUUCAAUGCCAAACAUUAAGCAAUUAUAGUUAUUUAAUUUAUGUAAUUAUUUAUCAUUUGUCAUUUCAAUAUAAAAUUAUAUACUAGUUUAAUUUUUUUGAGUAUUAUAUAUUAUUUAUUGAUUUUUAAGUUUAUAGAUUUUAUAUCUUUUCACAGUUUCUAAAUAAAUAU
rnacentral:lncRNA from 1 species